GAUGAACGCUGGCGGCGUGCCUAAUACAUGCAAGUCGAGCGAACGGACGAGAAGCUUGCUUCUCUGAUGUUAGCGGCGGACGGGUGAGUAACACGUGGAUAACCUACCUAUAAGACUGGGAUAACUUCGGGAAACCGGAGCUAAUACCGGAUAAUAUUUUGAACCGCAUGGUUCAAAAGUGAAAGACGGUCUUGCUGUCACUUCUAGCUGGAUCCGCGCUGCAUUAGCUGGUUGGUAAGGUAACGGCUUACCAAGGCAACGAUGCAUAGCCGACCUGAGGGGGUGAUCGGCGACACGGGAGCUGAGACACGGUCAAGACUCCUACGGGAGGCAGCAGUAGCGAAUCUUCCGCAAUGGGCGAAAGCCUGACGGAGCGACGCCGCGUGAGUGAUGAAGGUCUUCGGAGCGUAAAACUCUGUUAUUAGGGAAGAACAUAUGUGUAAGUAACUGUGCACAUCUUGACGGUACCUAAUCAGAAAGCCACGGCUAACUACGUG
rnacentral:rRNA from 1 species